GUUCUGUUCUAGCAUAGGAAAGAACUGGCGUUGGCUGUUCGUGAUGAUUUUCUUAUUAGUGUGGGAAUUUGAUUUUCUGCCUAUCGAGAGCCAUCUUGCGCCCCAUUGUGUAUCUGCAUUGGGCACAGUGGUGAUCAAUAGAUGUCUAGAGAGUAUGGUUGAAAGAGGGCAUUCAGGCACCAUGAGUUACACCUGAGGAUGCCAAGAGAGAUUGCAGGUGGCGUAGAAGCACUGCCAGAGAGUUUGAGGCUGUAUGGGUAGCAGCUGUGGGACCAGAAAACUGGUCAUGUGAAUUUCAAAAUGGGAGGAAAGAGCGGAUUUUGAAAGCAACAGAUAGCGGAGUUGGAUUUCAAUCUCCGGCAACUUCUAGAAUGUUUGCAAAAACUGUUGUCAGAUAGGCUUUCCAGGUCUUAUCAUUAACUCUGUUAAAAGUGAGGACACCGAGGCUCAGACACAUUGAAGACUUUGGGUAAAGUUACACAGCGGAAAGGAAGGUCUGGGACUCAAAUUCAGACCUAAUUUUUGUCACCUAGACUGUUGAAGGUCUGUGAUGGGUCUCAUAUGAUAUUUGAACCAAGGCUGAGUGCUAAUUGCACUGUUGUCACGUUUCAGUAAGACUGCCACCAUCGUCCAUGAAAUAAACUGGACCCUGUUCAUUAGGCUUCUCUGUGCAUCCCAUGUUUUCUCACAGCCCCAGCAGGUCCUGGCUCACGGCAGAGGCCAGAUGGCUGAGGGAGAAUGCCUCUCUCCUGACUGAGGGCAAACCCCCAGAGUCAACAAAUAGCUUAGAUCCUGGAGGAGAAACCUGCUCAACAGGAGCUGGGGACACCUGACGGUAGGACAGUGGCGGCCCCUCCCUCUCCACUCACCCUGGCCCGGGAGCAGAGCAGGCUUUUACACAGAAGGCAAUUCCCAGCACUGACCACUGGAAAGGAAUGAGAUGAAGGAUCUUCUGUCCGCAGCUGACCAGGGUAAGACCCAUAGAGCAACAGCCUCGCUAUUGUGGGCUUCAACUCUAGCUGGAGUGGUUCCCAAAUAGAAAAAAAAGGUGAGUUUAAGAACAUUUCUUAAAUGUGAGUUCAAGAGGUGAGUUUAAAAGGUGAGUUUAAGAACAUUUAAGAAUAAUAUUUUUUAAUAUAACAGUACUGCAACAAGGGUAAAUUCAAACAAUUUGAGAUGAAUAAAAAUACUGUGAAAGGAAAUGAAAUAUUUUUUUAUCUUGGUUAGAUGUAUUUGCUAUCUGUUGCUGAAUAAAAAAUUACCCCCAAAUUUAGCGGCUUAAAACAAU
ensembl:lncRNA